GCCGGAGGGAAACCGAGUCUUAAUUGGGCGUUAAGUUGCAGGGUAUAGACCCGAAACCCGGUGAUCUAGCCAUGGGCAGGUUGAAGGUUGGGUAACACUAACUGGAGGACCGAACCGACUAAUGUUGAAAAAUUAGCGGAUGACCUGUGGCUGGGGGUGAAAGGCCAAUCAAACCGGGAGAUAGCUGGUUCUCCCCGAAAGCUAUUUAGGUAGCGCCUCGUGAAUUCAUCUCCGGGGGUAGAGCACUGUUUCGGCUAGGGGGCCAUCCCGGCUUACCAACCCGAUGCAAACUGCGAAUACCGGAGAAUGUUAUCACGGGAGACACACGGCGGGUGCUAACGUCCGUCGUGAAGAGGGAAACAACCCAGACCGCCAGCUAAGGUCCCAAAGUCAUGGUUAAGUGGGAAACGAUGUGGGAAGGCCCAGACAGCCAGGAUGUUGGCUUAGAAGCAGCCAUCAUUUAAAGAAAGCGUAAUAGCUCACUGGUCGAGUCGGCCUGCGCGGAAGAUGUAACGGGGCUAAACCAUGCACCGAAGCUGCGGCAGCGAACGUAUCACUUAAAGCGAUUCAGCGGGUUACGAUUGACGGAGCGAAGCGACGUCAAAGCGUAUACAAAGUCGAGUCGGUUUAAGGAUACGUUCGUUGGGUAGGGGAGCGUUCUGUAAGCCUGUGAAGGUGGCCUGUGAGGGUUGCUGGAGGUAUCAGAAGUGCGAAUGCUGACAUAAGUAACGAUAAAGCGGGUGAAAAGCCCGCUCGCCGGAAGACCAAGGGUUCCUGUCCAACGUUAAUCGGGGCAGGGUGAGUCGACCCCUAAGGCGAGGCCGAAAGGCGUAGUCGAUGGGAAACGGGUUAAUAUUCCCGUACUUGGUGUUACUGCGAAGGGGGGACGGAGAAGGCUAUGUUGGCCGGGCGACGGUUGUCCCGGUUUAAGCGUGUAGGUGUGUGUUCCAGGUAAAUCCGGUUCACUUUAACACUGAGGCGUGA
rnacentral:rRNA from 1 species